rnacentral:rRNA from 1 species
GCACGAGAAAGUGGAGCAAUCCAUGAGUACAGUGGCGUACGGGUGAGUAACACGUGGAUCAUCUACCUCUUGGUGGGGAAUAACCCUGGGAAACCGGGGCUAAUACCGCAUAAGCCUGCAAAGGGAAAGCAGCAAUGCGCCGAGAGAGGAGUCCGCGGCCGAUUAGCUGGUUGGUAGGGUAACGGCCUACCAAGGCAAUGAUCGGUAGCCGGCCUGAGAGGGCACACGGCCACACUGGCACUGAAACACGGGCCAGACUCCUACGGGAGGCAGCAGUGGGGAAUCUUGCACAAUGGGGGAAACCCUGAUGCAGCGACGCCGCGUGAGCGAUGAAGCCCUUCGGGGUGUAAAGCUCUUUCGGCAGGAACGAUAAUGACGGUACCUGCAGAAGAAGCUGCGGCUAACUACGUG